rnacentral:rRNA from 1 species
GCCUACGGGAGGCAGCAGUGGGGAAUAUUGGGCAAUGGGCGCAAGCCUGACCCAGCAACGCCGCGUGAAGGAAGAAGGCUUUCGGGUUGUAAACUUCUUUUGACAGGGAAGAGCAGAAGACGGUACCUGUCGAAUAAGCCACGGCUAACUACGUGCCAGCAGCCGCGGUAAUACGUAGGUGGCAAGCGUUAUCCGGAUUUACUGGGUGUAAAGGGAGCGUAGGCGGUUCAGCAAGUCAGAAGUGAAAGCCCGGGGCUCAACUCCGGG